rnacentral:rRNA from 1 species
AUUGAACGCUGGCGGCAGGCCUAACACAUGCAAGUCGAGCGCGAAAGCAUUUCGGUGCGAGUAGAGCGGCGGACGGGUGAGUAACGCGUAGGAAUCUGCCUGGCAGUGGGGGACAACAUGUGGAAACGCAUGCUAAUACCGCAUACGCCCUGAGGGGGAAAGCGGGGGAUCUUCGGACCUCGUGCUGUCAGAUGAGCCUGCGUGGGAUUAGCUAGUUGGUAGGGUAAUGGCCUACCAAGGCGACGAUCCCUAGCUGGUCUGAGAGGAUGAUCAGCCACACUGGGACUGAGACACGGCCCAGACUCCUACGGGAGGCAGCAGUGGGGAAUAUUGCACAAUGGGGGAAACCCUGAUGCAGCCAUGCCGCGUGUGUGAAGAAGGCUUUUUCGGGUUGUAAAAGCACUUUCAGUGGGGAGGAAAAGCUUGUAGUUAAUAACUGCCAGCCGUGACGUUACCCACAGAAG